UUGAACGCUGGCGGCAGGCCUAACACAUGCAAGUCGAACGGUAACAGGAAGCAGCUUGCUGCUUCGCUGACGAGUGGCGGACGGGUGAGUAAUGUCUGGGAAACUGCCUGAUGGAGGGGGAUAACUACUGGAAACGGUAGCUAAUACCGCAUAAUGUCGCAAGACCAAAGAGGGGGACCUUCGGGCCUCUUGCCAUCGGAUGUGCCCAGAUGGGAUUAGCUAGUAGGUGGGGUAACGGCUCACCUAGGCGACGAUCCCUAGCUGGUCUGAGAGGAUGACCAGCCACACUGGAACUGAGACACGGUCCAGACUCCUACGGGAGGCAGCAGUGGGGAAUAUUGCACAAUGGGCGCAAGCCUGAUGCAGCCAUGCCGCGUGUAUGAAGAAGGCCUUCGGGUUGUAAAGUACUUUCAGCGGGGAGGAAGGUGUUGAGGUUAAUAACCUCAGCAAUUGACGUUACCCGCAGAAGAAGCACCGGCUAACUCCGUGCCAGCAGCCGCGGUAAUACGGAGGGUGCAAGCGUUAAUCGGAAUUACUGGGCGUAAAGCGCACGCAGGCGGUCUGUCAAGUCGGAUGUGAAAUCCCCGGGCUCACCCUGGGAACUGCAUUCGAAACUGGCAGGCUAGAGUCUUGUAGAGGGGGGUAGAAUUCCAGGUGUAGCGGUGAAAUGCGUAGAGAUCUGGAGGAAAUACCGGUGGCGAAGGCGGCCCCCUGGACAAAGACUGACGCUCAGGUGCGAAAGCGUGGGGGAGCAAACAGGAUUAGAUACCCUGGUAGUCCACGCCGUAAAACGAUGUCGACUUGGAGGUUGUGCCCUUGAGGCGUGGCUUCCGGAGCUAACGCGUUAAGUCGACCGCCUGGGGAGUACGGCCGCAAGGUUAAAACUCAAAUGAAUUGACGGGGGCCCGCACAAGCGGUGGAGCAUGUGGUUUAAUUCGAUGCAACGCGAAGAACCUUACCUACUCUUGACAUCCAGAGAACUUUCCAGAGAUGGAUUGGUGCCUUCGGGAACUCUGAGACAGGUGCUGCAUGGCUGUCGUCAGCUCGUGUUGUGAAAUGUUGGGUUAAGUCCCGCAACGAGCGCAACCCUUAUCCUUUGUUGCCAGCGGUUAGGCCGGGAACUCAAAGGAGACUGCCAGUGAUAAACUGGAGGAAGGUGGGGAUGACGUCAAGUCAUCAUGGCCCUUACGAGUAGGGCUACACACGUGCUACAAUGGCGCAUACAAAGAGAAGCGACCUCGCGAGAGCAAGCGGACCUCAUAAAGUGCGUCGUAGUCCGGAUUAGAGUCUGCAACUCGACUCCAUGAAGUCGGAAUCGCUAGUAAUCGUGGAUCAGAAUGCCACGGUGAAUACGUUCCCGGGCCUUGUACACACC
rnacentral:rRNA from 1 species